AACGAACGCUGGCGGCAUGCCUAACACAUGCAAGUCGAACGAGACCUUCGGGUCUAGUGGCGCACGGGUGCGUAACGCGUGGGAACAUGCCCUUAGGUUCGGAAUAACUCCUCGAAAGGGGCGCUAAUACCGGAUAAUGUUUUCGGACCAAAGAUUUAUCGCCUUUGGAUGGGCCCGCGUUGGAUUAGCUAGUUGGUAGGGUAAAAGCCUACCAAGGCGACGAUCCAUAGCUGGUCUGAGAGGAUGAUCAGCCACACUGGGACUGAGACACGGCCCAGACUCCUACGGGAGGCAGCAGUGGGGAAUAUUGGACAAUGGGCGAAAGCCUGAUCCAGCAAUGCCGCGUGAGUGAUGAAGGCCUUAGGGUUGUAAAGCUCUUUUACCCGGGAUGAUAAUGACAGUACCGGGAGAAUAAGCUCCGGCUAACUCCGUG
rnacentral:rRNA from 1 species